UACGGAGGGGGCGAGCGUUGUUCGGAUUCAUUGGGCGUAAAGGGUGCGUAGGUGGCGCUGUAAGUCGGGUGUGAAAUUUCGGAGCUUAACUCCGAAACUGCAUUCGAUACUGCGGUGCUUGAGGACUGGAGAGGAGACUGGAAUUCAUGGUGUAGCAGUGAAAUGCGUAGAGAUCAUGAGGAAGACCAGUGGCGAAGGCGGGUCUCUGGACAGUUCCUGACACUGAGGCACGAAGGCCAGGGGAGCAAACGGG
rnacentral:rRNA from 1 species